GAGAGAGUGUAAUAUGGCGAAGACC
rnacentral:piRNA from 1 species